GCUCAACAGAGGAUCAGAUGUUCAGUUAAUGAAAUUGGUUGUUACCGUUACAUCAUUAACCAGAUAAAACAACAGAAAAGGGAAAAGGAAAGAGAACAGCAAGAUGGAAAAGGCAGCUUCUGUUUCUUGUGCUGGCAAUCAUUUGCAACUGUACACCGAAGAAAUACAGGACCAGCUCACACAGACCUGUCAGCAACUUGGGAACCUGACAAACUUCUACCAUUGUCAGUCAAUGCUUUGUCUGGUCAGUCCAAAUCUCAGAGUGUCGAAGGUCCAGUGGUAUGAUGAUGGAUUCUGGGUCUCGAGACAUGAUCAAGGUAGCAGCUAUAAUGACAAACCACUCUUCUCACAAUGCAUGUCUCAUUUAGUGACCUCCACAAAAACAAUGUCCAAGAAGGGGUUGCAACUUUACCCCAUUAAUAUUUAAAGUGAAUUUUACUGAUUUAAAUUAUAAACAUUUCCUCCUAUUUCUAGAAUAUUGAAGCUUGUUAAAAUAAGCUAUUGCUGUUCCAACAGCCUUGAAGACCCCUAGCUGUCAUUCAUUUUCUUACCUCUGUAGUAUGGGGUAUGGCUGUCCCACCAGGAUCACCAUCACAGAGAUUUCAGGCUUUUGUGACAUCUUGACCUCUUUUGUUUUCAGUCUGUG